UCUUUGCUGAUGAUAACUUUGAUAGGGACAUCUGAAGUCCUAUGACUGAUUUAUCAAUAUUUAUUUACUGAAUA
rfam:Drosophila busckii chromosome 2L sequence.